rnacentral:rRNA from 1 species
UACGGAGGGUGCGAGCGUUGUCCGGAAUCAUGUCGUGGGCGUAAAGGGCGCGUAGGCGCCUGAUAAAGUACGGGGGUGAAACGUCCUGCGGCAUUAACCGCAGGGCUGCCUUCUAAACUGUCAGGCUCGAGCACAGUAGAGGCAGGUGGAAUUCCCGGUGUAGCGGAUGGAAUGCGUAGAGAUCGGGAAGAACAUCAGUGGCGAAGGCGGCCUGCUGGGCUGUUGCUGACGCUGAGGCGCGA